AUUGAACGCUGGCGGCAGGCCUAACACAUGCAAGUCGAGCGAGCGGCGGACGUGUGAGUAAUGUAUGGGGACUGCCCGAUAGAGGGGGAUAACUACUGGAAACGGUUGCUAAUACCGCAUACUAUCGGAUAACCCAUAUGGGAUUAUCUAGUCGGUGGGGUAAAGGCUCACCUAGGCUACGAUCUCUAGCUGGUCUAAGAGGAUGAUCAGCCACACUGGUACUGAGACACGGCCCAGAAUCCGACGGAGGCAGCAGUGGGGAAUAUGGCACAAUGGGCGCAAGCCUGAUGCAGCCAUGCCGCGUGAAUGAAGAAGGCCUUAGGGUUGUAAAGUACUUUCGGCGGGGAGGCGGUACCCGCAGAAGAAGCCCCGGCUAACUCCGUGCCAGCCGCCGCGGUAAUUC
rnacentral:rRNA from 1 species